AUGGAGGUCAGAGUGAAUGGAUUUUGCAGUAUUGUAUACUUGGUUAUCAAUGCUGCCUUUUCAUCUGCAUCUAGCAAAGUGGAGAUUGUUGUCAUCAAUGAUCCCUUCAUUGACCCCCAACCAUGUGGCCUACAUGUCCUAGUAUAACUCUAGCCAUGGCAAGCUCAAUGAUACAGUCAAGGCUGAGAAUGGAAGAAUGGAAUACUUAUCAUCAAUUGGAAGCCCAUCACCAUAUUUCAGGAGCUAGAUUCUGCUAACAUCAAAUAGGGGGAUGUUGUUGCUAAGUAUGUCCUGGAGUCUACUGGUGUCUUCACCAUCAUGGAGAAGUCCAAAGCCCAAUGGAAUGGUUGGGCCAAAAGGGUCAUUAUCUCUGCCCCUUCUGCCAAUGCCCUUAUGUUUCUGAUGGGUGUGAACAAGGAGAAAAAUGACAACUUACUGAAGAUUGUCAGUAAUGCAUCCUGUACCACCAACUGCUUAGCCCUCCUGCCCAAGGUCAUCCAUGACAACUUUGCCAUUGUAGAAGUACUCUUGACUACGGUCAAUGCCAUCACUGCCUCUCAGAACACUAUGGAUGGCCCCCUGGAAAGCUAUUGUGUGGUGGCCAUGAUGCUGCCCAGAACAUCAUCCCUGCAUCCAGUGGCGCUACCAAGGCUGUGGGCAAGGUGA